GAAUCAUUAGCCGCAACUCCUCUGAGCUUUCGCGCGACUGGUCAGUUGCUAUGUAUAUCUACUUGCACUGUCUUCAUGAACUGUUACUCCUCUGCUAUGUACCAUCCUGCUUUGGAGCCGCUGAUUAUGGACUAUUUAACCUCUACAAACUGCUUUGCACUAUACUUCAGUGAACCGAACAAAAUACUGCAAAGUAUAGGGAAAAUGGCAGAAAGCAUGUUUUCCGAUAUCAAAAACUUUGAGACAACACCGCAGGUAUUUGAAAGAGAUCUUGAAAGGGGCAGCUAAAAUAUUUUCCAAAUAUAAAAAAUGCAUUUAGAAAGUCUACAACCUUUGCAGAGAAUCCUACCAGCCAGCCAUCAUAAAACCUACGAGGAGUUUCUAGCAUUGUAGCAGCUAUGAACGCGAGUUUUAGUAACAGGUUUUUACAGUUCCAUAAGAUGGAGAAAACCCUGUGUUUUCUUCUCCAAAUAAAGCCAAGUUUGAAAAG